UACAGGGGGUGCAAACGUUGCUCGGAAUCAUUGGGCGUAAAGCGCACGUAGGCGGUUUGUUAUGUCGGAUGUGAAAGCCCUUGGCUCAACUGAGGAAGUGCAUCCGAAACUGGCAAGCUAGAGUACUAAAGAGGGUCGCGGAAUUCCUAGUGUAGAGGUGAAAUUCGUAGAUAUUAGGAAGAACACCGGUGGCGAAGGCGGCCCACUGGUCCGGUACUGACGCUGAGGUGCGAAAGCGUGGGGAGCAAACAGG
rnacentral:rRNA from 1 species